AUCGCUUAUCGGAUAUUUUUAGCUUAGAUCAAGUGUAGUAUCUGUUCUUAUCAGCGUAACAUCUUAUACAUCUCACAUUGUGGGGUUCAAAUGUUAAAUUAAUUUUUUAAGUUGUUGGAGAUUUGGGGCUUGCUCCUACUCCAUUGCGGGUUGACCUGGUAUUGCAGUACCAUCGGGAUCAGCCCAUAUUAA